rnacentral:lncRNA from 1 species
CUCAAUGGGACGUGCAGACGUGCUCCUCUACUUCAGCUUUUCCUGCGUGACCCCCUCGGGGCAGCAGCUGACCCGGGAUUUGGUGUCAUUUCCCCAUCAGCACUAAUGAGGAUUAUCCCUACCAGCUCUUUGAAAGCUCCCAGCUGCCCACUGAGCCCUGCUUCCCCCCGCCAGGCACACGGGAGCAUUGCAUCAGCUCCACCCCCAUCCACACACACACACAGACACCACUCGUUUCCAGUGGGUUUAUUUCAAGUGGACAGCAGAUACUACAUUAGGGCUAUGGGAAGGGGCUGCCCAGCAGAGACCCCCGGCCCUGGGACGCCUUCCUCCAGCAGGUGCACGCCGAAUCUUCGGGUCUGCCUCACCAGCAAGCUGGCUUCAAGGCAGGCCGUCAUGGUGCUGGAGGAGGGGGCCCACGGGGAGCAGGGAGCAGUGCUGGGCAGCAGCUCGGCACGCAGCUCUACAGGUAGGCGGGCAGAUCCUUCUCGAUCACGUAAGGAUCCUCCAUUGGGCUGUACCUUUUCACCACUUGGCCCUCACGGUUGAUAAGAAACUUAGUGAAGUUCCACUUGAUGGCAUUCCCCAGCGUGCCCCGGCCCUUGGGCUGCUCCUUCAGCCACUUCCACAGCGGGUGGGCGCCGUCCCCAUUGACCUCAAUUUUGCUGAACAUGUCGAACUUCACCCCGUAGCCCUCCGCAAAGGCUUUGAUCUGCGCGUCGUCCCCGGGCUCCUGCUUCCCGAACUGGUUGCAGGGGAAGGCCAGGAUGCGCAGCCCCUUCUCAGCGUAUCGCGCGUGCAGAUCGACGAGCUGAGUGUAAUUCACCGCGGUCUUUCCUCAUUUGGACGCCACGUUGGUGAUGAUGCAGACGAAGCCCCUGUACUGCUCCAGGGACACAUCGCGGCCGUCGAUGUCCCGCGCGUGGAAGUCGUAGAUGGAGGUGGCCGAGCGCCACUCGUCCGCCUGAGCGCACAUUCUCCGCGCCGCGCCCCGCACCGCCGCCGCCCCGCACAGCAGCGCCCGUCCCCAGCGGCAGCCCCAACCCAU